UGAAGACUUUGCCGGAUUAGCUGAGAGGGUGGUGCAUGGCCGUCGUCAGUUCGUACUGUGAAGCAUCCUGUUAAGUCAGGCAACGAGCGAGACCCACGCCCACAGUUGCCAGCGUACUCUCUGGAGUGACGGGUACACUGUGGGGACCGCCGCUGCUAAAGCGGAGGAAGGAAUGGGCAACGGUAGGUCAGUAUGCCCCGAAUAUCCCGGGCUACACGCGAGCUACAAUGGUUGGUACAAUGGGUAUCUACCCCGAAAGGGGACGGGAAUCUCCUAAAACCAAUCUUAGUUCGGAUUGAGGGCUGCAACUCGCCCUCAUGAAGCUGGAAUCCGUAGUAAUCGCGUUUCAACAGAACGCGGUGAAUACGUCCCUGCUCCUU
rnacentral:rRNA from 1 species